rnacentral:sRNA from 1 species
CCAAAACGAACUCAUCAGAUUUUUAAAUGCUGGAAUUUUUGGCAAUGAUAAGGAAUCUUGUCACACUUUACCUCAAUCAACUACAAGAGCAUCCAUGUUGGUUAGGAUUAACACCUUGCUUCAAGGAUAUUCAGGCAUAAGAUUUGAAAUCAUGGAGGCCAUAGCCAAGUUUUUGAACCAUAACAUAACUCCUUGUCUCCCACUACGUGGCUCAAUCACUGCAUCAGGUGAUAUAAUUCCUUUCUCAUAUGUUGUUAGUCUCUUGAUUGGUAGGACAAACUCCAAGUCUAUUGGACCUAAUGGAGAAGUUCUUAAUGCUAGAGAGGCCUUUCAAUUAGCAGGAAUUGAUGGUGGUUUCUUUGAGUUGCAACCUA